rnacentral:hammerhead_ribozyme from 1 species
GCGCUGCUGAGGAGUCCAAAAAUAGAAUGAAACGGCCGUCUAGUGC